AACGAACGCUGGCGGCAGGCUUAACACAUGCAAGUCGAGCGCCCCGCAAGGGGAGCGGCAGACGGGUGAGUAACGCGUGGGAAUCUACCCAUCUCUACGGAAUAACGCAGGGAAACGUGUGCUAAUACGGUAUACGUCCUUCGGGAGAAAGAUUUAUCGGAGAUGGAUGAGCCCGCGUUGGAUUAGCUGGUUGGUGGGGUAAAGGCCUACCAAGGCGACGAUCCAUAGCUGGUCUGAGAGGAUGAUCAGCAACACUGGGACUGAGACACGGCCCAGACUCCUACGGGAGGCAGCAGUGGGGAAUAUUGGACAAUGGGCGCAAGCCUGAUCCAGCCAUGCCGCGUGAGUGAUGAAGGCCCUAGGGUUGUAAAGCUCUUUCACCGGUGAAGAUAAUGACGGUAACCGGAGAAGAAGCCCCGGCUAACUUCGUGCCAGCAGCCGCGGUAAUAC
rnacentral:rRNA from 1 species